rnacentral:lncRNA from 1 species
GCGAUUUAGAGGAGGCCGGAAAGAGCCACCGGGCGGUGCUCACGACGGUCAUUCCAACUGUGCUGGCCACGACCAGGACUGGAGACCCAUCCCUCACCCCAAUCUGGUCCCGGCCUCUCUCUUCCGCGACAGAGGUGAUCAAUUUGGGGAUUGGCAGUGACAGGCAUCCAAUGAGGCCCACCUCUUUGAGAGUGCAGAAAAUCAAAGCUGUAGGUCACGGCACAGGGAAACAGAAACGGCCCCAGACUUUGCUCCUACCCCCACCAUUCUUCUAGCGGAUGGGGACCUGUGAGCCUGGUGACCACCACCAAGGAAGCGGCACAGUCAGGAGCGAGGGAGCGGGCUUUGCUCCUUCUCCCUACUGAGCCUCCCAGCCUGGGGAAUUUGAGACUAGAAGACACCCCCUGCACUCUCUGGGGCCAGCCAGAGGCUGAGGGCCCAGGCCUCUACAGUUAGGGGGUUCCCCCAGGGAGCUCGGGAGGAGCCCUGCAGAGCACAGUAGGAUCGGGGCACAGCUGGGUCACAGCCUCUGAGCAGUAUCUUCUGAAACCCUCAUCCUGGCUGGUUGAGCUGCAGGGGAGACCCCCAGAGAGUCGAGGGCGUGUCCUGAAUUGGAGGAGGAAGUGAGGUACAUCCGGGCUGGAGGGGCAGGAACCA